UUCCGGUUGAUCCUGCCGGAGGCUACUGCUAUUGGAAUUCGAUUAAAGCAUGCGAGUCGAGAGGGUUCGGCCCUCGGCGUAAUGCUCAGUAACACGUGGACAAUCUACCCUUGGGUGGGGGAUAAACUCGGGAAACUGAGUAUAAUACCCCAUAGAUCUGGUCUGCUGGAAGGCUUCCAGGUCCAAAACUCCGGUGCCCAAGGAUGAGUCUGCGGCCUAUCAGGUUGUAGUGAGUGUCACGGACUCACUAGCCUUUGACGGGUACGGGCCUUGAGAGAGGUAGCCCGGAGAUGGACUCUGAGACACGAGUCCAGGCCCUACGGGGCGCAGCAGCUGCGAAAACUUUGCAAUGUGGGAAACCACGACAAGGGAAUUCCGAGUGCUGGCGCAAUGCGUCAGCUUUUCUUUAGCUUAAAACGCUAGAGGAAUAAGGGCUGGGUAAGACCGGUGCCAGCCGCCGCGGUAAUACCGGCAGCUCGAGUGGUAGUCGAGAUUAUUGGGCUUAAAGCGUCCGUAGCCUGCUUAGUAAAUCCUUGGGUAAAUCGGCCAGCUCAACUGUCCGAAUUCUGAUGAGACUGCUAAGCUUGGGACCGGGAGAAGUCAGAAGUACUCCUGGGGUAGGGGUGAAAUCCUGUAAUCCUGGGGGGACUACCAGUGGCGAAGGCGUCUGGCUAGAACGGAUCCGACGGUGAGGGACGAAACCCUGGGGCACAAACGGGAUUAGAUACCCCGGUAGUCCAGGGCGUAAACGCUGCAGGCUUGGUGUUGGGAGUCCCACGAGGGCACUCAGUGCCGGAGAGAAAUUGUUAAGCCUGCCGCCUGGGGAGUACGGUCGCAAGACUGAAACUUAAAGGAAUUGGCGGGGGAGCACUGCAACGGGUGGAGCGUGCGGUUUAAUUGGAUUCAACGCCGGA
rnacentral:rRNA from 1 species